AGGAGCCGAGCCCGGAGUGGAUCGAUGCCCCACGGUCUCCAAAGCAGCAGUUAAGAAUCGCUCCGCGCAUACGCACACAUGGCGGGCGGCGAGAACAGGCCUGAUCUGGUGUUGACCUUGGCCACAUCAAGGUCAUAGAGCAUCUUCGCAGCCUGAUGAUCUGGCGCUCUUUGGCUUUGACAUCCACAAUGAACACAAGGAAACUGAAGGUGGGAGGGAGUCCCAGGAAGCAUCGGUAGGAGAAAGGUGAAAUGCUACAGGGAAGGAGGCCAAAACCUUCUGCAGUAUCAACAGUUAACUGCAAAUAAGGCGUGGCACUGGGGAGCCAUUUGGGAACCAAAAAGGAAAACCUGAAGAUCUGAAAGAGGGUGGAAUCUGAUCCUUGAUGACCUCGUGGAACCACUGAAUUAGUCAACCUUGGUGCUGCUCCCUGACAACACUCCUUGUGAGAGAUAAGGAAACUGAGACCUGUGUUUACAAAGGUAGUGAGCACUAAAGCUGACUGCAAGGUCUGGACUCUUAGCCACGAUGCUCUGCAGCCUUUCAAGUGGAAAUAGUGGGGUUUUACUGAGUAGCAGGGCCUCGGCUAGCACCCAGUGUGCAUGCGCCUAACCAGGGCAUUACUUGGAGAACUGCACCUGCGAGAACCCACUCCUUUGCUGUCCUGUUCCGUGAUCACGAUAGCGUGCUAGCCCUUCUGGGGUGCCACCUUUCCUGUCGCCACUGUCCAAGACAGCCACCUAGCUGCCCAAGAAGACAUCAUUGAAGGUCCAGAAGGACCCUGUGGGCGGAGGCAUGUCCAGAGCCUGGAAACCAGACAAGCAGAGACGGAUGCCACCCCGAGCAAUCUGGAUGACGUAGUCCUGGGCCGUGAGGUUAAACCAGACACCCCUGCCCCAACCAAGGAGGAAGGAGACUGGGCGGAGUGUUGGGAUUUUCAAGCACUGGAUGAGGUACUGAGGGAAAAGAGGAACAAGUGGAGAUGAGGGAUUUCUGCUCUGCUCAAAUUCCUUCGUGGCUCCCCAGUGCGAUAGGGUCACGUCGAUUUUGGGCAGCUAGGUAGGUAUUCAGGGCCUUGUAUGGUCAGGCUCUGCUGUCUUCUCUAGCCUCUCCUCCUCAUUCUUUUAAUGGUUGUGGCUGCUCCCUUCCUUCUGGUCUCAAAAGGGUGUUCAGUGAGAACUGGUUCUCUGAGAUGUGUUCACUAUUUCUCAUUUAUGUGUGUGUGUGUGUGUGUGUGUGUGAAUUAUUCAAAUUAUAGGUUAAUCCUAUGCAGAUUUACAAUGCAUACUAAUCUUUUAAAGAUUUUAACGUAUCCUGCAAGCUAAUUUUUUAAAAUUUCUGUCCAACACAGUGAUCAUAAAUUUAUUUGAUCAUAGAAUCUGCUAUUAUGCGAAUGUCCGUUACUCUACUAGAAAGCAUACCCUUGAAAUAUACAUUGGGAAACAUCCAUUUAAAACCUCCUAGAGUUCAUCUAAAGUUAGAGAAGUUCCCUUUGAGCCAUGGGAAUCAGAGAAAAAAAACAUUGAGAAAGACUCUGGGUUGAACCACUCCAGGGCCGAAUACCAAAGAGAAAAUGAGGCUAAAAAUCCACAAAGAGUGAUUCACACACAAAUGAGCUGUUGGCUGCCUCUGUGGUGUUCUGAGUUGUUUGAGAAGUGCCUGGUGUCCACACCUAGAGUCAGGGCAGAGUGCUGAGCAUGAAGAAUGGGCUGCUGGUUCUUUUCUGGUAGCUUUUUAAAAAGUUGGGAACUGAAGAUAGAUUAUGCCAUCCCCAAAUAUGUCUCUUUGGAGGCAUAAGGACUAUUCUGAACAGCUUAUUUUGAGAAACUGCAGACACAGGAGAAGCUCUAAAAACAGUAUAAAUUACCCCUUUAUAAGGGAAAUUUACAUUACCAGGAAGAGAGCUACUAUAACCAGAGAUAACUUUUUGCUUGAGAGACUUAGAGCCAUGGCAGGGCAACCUUUGUUUACUGAACAUCUCCUCUUCUCACCUCCCCUGCUUUGAAGCCCCAGACCUCAACCCAUUCCUUAGCUCAGGAUGGUAUAUAAGCCUCAACCAUCUCAUAUCU